UAGGAUCCAGCCAUGGAUCAGCUUAGGACAGCUGAGAUUAUCUGUGGGUUUGAGGUGGAGCUGUGGUCCUCAGUGGAUUAUGAUGAGGUGAGUAGUGUUGCCAAGGAGGGAUGAGUGAGAUUCUGUUCUUUUCUCCUCAGCCACUGUUCCCAUGUACAAUGAAUAAGAACAGUAGACUACAUACUAAUUCUAACAUAGGGAACAUAUUUUUCUCCGAAAUUGGCAUUGGCAUCUCAGGAAACAGCUUCCUUCUUCUCUUCCAAAUCCUCAAGUUCAUUCGUGGGCACAGGCCCAGACUCACUGACCUGCCCAUUGGUCUCUUGUCCCUUAUCCACCUACUGAUGCUACUGGUCAUGGCAUUCAUAGCCAUAGACAUUUUUAUUUCUUGGAGGGAAUGGGAUGACAUCAUACGUAAAUUCCUUCUGUACCUGUACAGUUUUGAGGGGUUUCUCCCUUUGCACCACCAGCAUGUUGAGUGUCCUCCAGGCUAUCAUACUUAGUCCCAGAAGCUCCUGUUUAGCAAAGUUCAAGCAUAAAUCUCCUCAUCACAUCUCAUGUACCAUUAUUUUCCUGAGUGUCCUCUAUAUGUUAAUUGGCAGUCACCUCUUGUCCAUCAUUGCUACCCCGAAUUUGACCACAAAUGACUUCAUUUAUAUUACUCAAUCCUGCUCCAUUCUAUCCUUGAGUUACCUCAUGCAAAGCAUAUAUUCUACGCUGGUAGCCAUCAGAGAAGUUUUUCUUAUUAGUCUCAUGGUCCUCUCUAAUUGGUACAUGGUGGCCCUCUUGUGCAUGUACAGGAAACGGACCCAGCAUCUUCAACGAUCCAUACUUUCCCAAAAAAAAUCCCCAGAGCAAAGUGCCACCCAGACCAUCCUGAUGCUCAUGAGCUUCUUUGUGCUGAUGACCAUCUAUGACAUCAUGGUCUGCUGCUCAAGAGCUAUGUUCCUGAAUGAUCCAACAACUUACUCUAUCAAACUCUUUAUAAUGCACAUUUAUGCCACUGUCAGCCCUUUUGUGUUUAUGAGCACUGAAAAACAUAUAGUUAACUUUUUGAGAUCCAUGGGUAAGAGGGUGAUAAAUUUUAAUCUUCACUGAUGAGAAGAUAAUUAAGAAGAGCCAAUGUGCUGCCAUCAGAACUGUCAGUCAUGGCAUGCUGUCUAUGUGCUUUGCCAAAUGUUAAAUAUGAAGUUGUUUUUCUGUUAAAAUGAUAUAUUUUAACCAACAUGAGAAUAAACAUGUAACAGAAGAUUUAACAACAUACACUUUGAGAUAUGACAAUGGUGAUUUAAAUUUUAUUUUAUUUUUUAUAUUAUUUCUCAAUGAAGGGUGCUCUAUGAGGACCCUUAGUUUUUGCCCAUCUAGGUCUUAGAUUUCCCAUACUGUUUGUAAGUAUGUGACCACUUCACGUAUGUUUUGAUAUUUCAAUUUUCUGUUAUGAAUUUUAACAAACUAGAAAAAAAAACAUUUCUUACUAAAAAUAGUGCUAUGAUCCAGAAAGAAAAUGAAUUUUACACAUAACUUUCAAAACAGAAUUAUGUGGAAAAGGCACAUAGUGACUUGUCCAUCAAUACUAAGGAAAACAGGAUUUUAAAUUCUAAGGAUUUAAAAUUGAAACAAUAGUCUAGAAUUAACAGAUCAUGUGAUCAAAACACAGCCUCUGCAUGGUGUAGUAUAUUGUUCAGUCUUUAAGUGCAAGGCAAUUCUAGCACAGUGUGCUCUGGGAUGGAGCCCUCAAAAACAGGAAAUAUGCACACCACACAGCCCAGCCUCCUGGAGCUUCAAGACUCUACCUGAAACCCUGUCCCUCCUCCUUCAGUCUUUACUUUAAGUAGCUUCUAGUAAAAUCUGUUGCUUGGAGAAACAUUACUGCUUAUUGGGCAGUUGAACAAACUUUACUAAGAAGUCUAAUAAGUCAAUCAAACAUAAGUCACUCUAGAUUGCUAAAGCAAGGAAACAGAGGGUACAUAAAAAUCUUUCUAAAAUGUAAAUUGGGCCUCAGUUUUUGGUCUGAUGUCAUCUGGGCUUACUGUUUCUAUACAAUUAGGUGAUUUCUGGCUUCAGCUUGGUUGUCUCACUAUUGGUUGAUUUCAGCACCUGUGGAAUGUAGAAAAACCAUGAACUUGCUGGGUAAAGUAAGAUAACUUAAUGAGAGAAAAGUAAGUUUUAUGUGUCUUGACUUAUAGAGGGUGGCAGUACAGUUAGACAUAGACACACAAAAUGCAAUGCCAUUUUUAGAUUCAAGAAAAAGUCAACAAUUUUUGUUUUUGCUUGAUGGACAGGCUUUCAAUUCAGUAGGGAAACAAGGGUCAUAAAUCUGUGUAUUUAUGGGAUAUAUGAUGUGUACACACUCACUAGCAGUUAUUUAGUAGCUAGAAUUUUCAAACAACAUCUUCAUAUGGUUUGGGUACUUCCUAAUAGUAAAGACAUAUUAUUUUCAUAAAGAUAUCACAGCAUUGUCUCUAGUGCCCCUGAGGUUCAGUGGAUAAAGUAUUCACUACACAAUAAAAACCUAAGUCCAUAUACCCAGCAUCCACAUAUCAAUAGACAACGAUAACCAGGCAUCUUUCACCCCCAGAGUUCUUAUGGGCAUAUGGGUAGUGAAUUCCCAGAAACUCUGUGUUACUUAGCCUGGCCCACAUAGUAAAGAAUAUCAAGAGACCCAACAGAAACAAAUCAGAAGUCAGGACCAGUGUAAUAGGUUGAAAUCUGGCCUCUACAUGCAUGCCAUAAUGCAUAGGUGCCUGUAUUCACAUACAUGAACACACAUGCACACACAUGCCCACAAAUUUAAAUUAUUCCCCAAUAUCAAAUAAUGAUGAGAAUAUAAAUACUCCAGAAUUUAAUUAUCAAUAAUAAAACAUUUUGACAAAUGUGUACCACACACAGAUUUGAAGACCACUCUUUGCUCAUAUGAGUCUUGUUCUCAGACUCUCCUGGGAAAGCAAAGCUCUCACUGGAGAUCCUGCCAGUGCCAUGCUCACUUCUGGCACUGAGCUGCAAAGGCAGCUCCAGUGUUGUGUCUCCUGGAUGAGUUUCCUGUGACUGCAAAGGUCUGAAUGUAAAUAGAAGAUCAAACAUGUGAUUCUUUGGUAUUAGCUGAUGCCAUAAAGACAUGAGCUUGAAAUAUGCUUUAACAUUAGAAGUAAAUUAUCAAAUUUUGACAUGUGUGCUUUCACAUAGAUGACAGUACAUAUGUCACUGAAUGUUUUAAGGGACGACUUCAAAGAAAUGUGUCAAUGGUAAACACACAUUCCAGACCUGGAAAAGUCAUUGUUU
rnacentral:lncRNA from 1 species